ACCUGGCUUAGUUAGGAGGCAGAUAUCAAACUUAAAAAAAAGGCCUUUUUGAAUUUAUGGGGACUCUUUUGUUUCUCUCUCAUCUGUUUUCCCCCAAACAAGCCUUUCACAUUU